UACGGGGGGGGCAAGCGUUGUUCGGAAUUACUGGGCGUAAAGGGUUUGUAGGUGGCUCGCUAAGUCACACGUGAAAUCCCUCAGCUUAACUGGGGAACUGCGUGUGAGACUGGCAAGCUCGAGUGCAGGAGAGGAAUGCGGAAUUCCAGGUGUAGCGGUGAAAUGCGUAGAUAUCUGGAGGAACACCGGUGGCGAAGGCGGCAUUCUGGGCCUGUGCUGACGCUGAGGAGCGAAAGCGUGGGGAGCGAACAGG
rnacentral:rRNA from 1 species